GGGUUGUGAGGUUAAGCGACUAAGCGUACACGGUGGAUGCCCUGGCAGUCAGAGGCGAUGAAGGACGUGCUAAUCUGCGAUAAGCGUCGGUAAGGUGAUAUGAACCGUUAUAACCGGCGAUUUCCGAAUGGGGAAACCCAGUGUGAUUCGUCACACUAUCGUUAACUGAAUACAUAGGUUAACGAAGCGAACCGGGGGAACUGAAACAUCUAAGUACCCCGAGGAAAAGAAAUCAACCGAGAUUCCCCCAGUAGCGGCG
rnacentral:rRNA from 1 species